rnacentral:tRNA from 1 species
AAGGGAGACCUAAUUCAGGUAUGGGACGAAAAAAAAGUAGUCGCUACCAAGAAUCAAUCCCAAAAGGUCGGAGCGAGGUAUGAGGCUUUCAAACUAGGUUCUGGGUUCAAACAAGACCUGAAUCAGGAACAAGGGCUAUUAGCUCAGGUGGUUAGAGCGCACCCCUGAUAAGGGUGAGGUCCCUGGUUCGAGUCCAGGAUGGCCCACCUGCACAGGUGGCAAAAACAAGAGAAGCGAGGAAUCAGCACCUUAUCUUAUCUAUAUAUAAGAGAGAAUGCUGGCUCUGAGUAAAGAGUCCAGGGGAACCUUGAAAACUGCAUAGAGCUAGGUGAAAAAGCCAAAAAAGAAGACCGCAA